GAUGAACGCUGGCGGCGUGCCUAAUACAUGCAAGUAGAACGCUGAAGCUUGGUGCUUGCACCGAGCGGAUGAGUUGCGAACGGGUGAGUAACGCGUAGGUAACCUGCCUCUUAGCGGGGGAUAACUAUUGGAAACGAUAGCUAAUACCGCAUAAAAGUCGACAUUGCAUGAUGUUGACUUGAAAGGUGCAAUUGCAUCACUAAGAGAUGGACCUGCGUUGUAUUAGCUAGUUGGUGAGGUAACGGCUCACCAAGGCGACGAUACAUAGCCGACCUGAGAGGGUGAUCGGCCACACUGGGACUGAGACACGGCCCAGACUCCUACGGGAGGCAGCAGUAGGGAAUCUUCGGCAAUGGGGGCAACCCUGACCGAGCAACGCCGCGUGAGUGAAGAAGGUUUUCGGAUCGUAAAGCUCUGUUGUAAGAGAAGAACGAGUGUGAGAGUGGAAAGUUCACACUGUGACGGUAACUUACCAGAAAGGGACGGCUAACUACGUGCCAGCAGCCGCGGUAAUACGUAGGUCCCGAGCGUUAUCCGGAUUUAUUGGGCGUAAAGCGAGCGCAGGCGGUUAGAUAAGUCUGAAGUUAAAGGCUGUGGCUUAACCAUAGUACGCUUUGGAUACUGUUUAACUUGAGUGCAGAAGGGGAGAGUGGAAUUCCAUGUGUAGCGGUGAAAUGCGUAGAUAUAUGGAGGAACACCGGUGGCGAAAGCGGCUCUCUGGUCUGUAACUGACGCUGAUGCUCGAAAGCGUGGGUAUCAAACAGGAUGAGAUACCCUGUUAGUCCAUGGGGCGAUUCCACAGGGGAGAUCAAGCUUUAUCGAUACCGUCGACCUUGAAGGGGGGCCCAGGUUACCCAGUUUUGGUUCCCUUUUAGUGAUGUUUAUUAAGGUGGGUGUGUGGCUGUCUGUGCGUUGUGGUGUGUGAUUGAUUGAGUGGUGCACUUGUGUUUGUUGAUGUG
rnacentral:rRNA from 1 species